rfam:Asian citrus Psyllid, Diaphorina citri - Florida Strain, whole genome shotgun sequence.
GCCUAGUUAGCUUAGUUGGUAGUGCGUCUGCCUUGUAAGCGCUAGGCCGCGGGUUCGAUUCCCGCGCCGGGGCG